rnacentral:lncRNA from 1 species
GAAUCGUGAUCGGACGGAGGGCUCUCCACCUUCUGCUUUCCUUUUUUGGGGAAGAUAGGGUGACUGGCCCAAGUGGCCCACCCGAUCGCUAGAUUCUGGAACUCCGACGAUGCUCUUUCCAGCCGCACAGAUGCCUACGGCUGCUGUGGCUGCUGCUGCAUGGCCUGCACUGCUUCGGUGAGGCCUCUGACCUACUGAACCAGCAAGUUAAACUGCUCCAUGCUGACUGUCGUUGUCA